CCUACGGGGGGCAGCAGUGGGGAAUAUUGGACAAUGGGGGGAACCCUGAUCCAGCCAUGCCGCGUGUGUGAAGAAGGCCCUCGGGUUGUAAAGCACUUUCAGUGAGGAAGAACGCCUGGUGGUUAAUACCCAUCAGGAAAGACAUCACUCACAGAAGAAGCACCGGCUAACUCCGUGCCAGCAGCCGCGGUAAUACGGAGGGUGCGAGCGUUAAUCGGAAUUACUGGGCGUAAAGCGCGCGUAGGUGGCUUGAUAAGCCGGUUGUGAAAGCCCCGGGCUCAACCUGGGAACGGCAUCCGGAACUGUCAAGCUAGAGUGCAGGAGAGGAAGGUAGAAUUCCCGGUGUAGCGGUGAAAUGCGUAGAGAUCGGGAGGAAUACCUGUGGCGAAGGCGGCCUUCUGGACUGACACUGACACUGAGGUGCGAAAGCGUGGGUAGCAAACAGGAUUAGAUACCCGAGUAGUC
rnacentral:rRNA from 1 species